UACGGAGGGUGCAAGCGUUGUUCGGAAUUACUGGGCGUAAAGGGCGUGUAGGCGGUUAAGCAAGUCAGGUGUGAAAUCCCUUGGCUCAACCAAGGAAGUGCGCUUGAAACUGCUUAACUUGAGUACAGGAGGGGAAAGUGGAAUUCCCAGUGUAGAGGUGAAAUUCAUAGAUAUUGGGAGGAACACCGGUAGCGAAGGCGGCUUUCUGGCCUGAUACUGACGCUGAGACGCGAAAGCGUGGGGAGCAAACAGG
rnacentral:rRNA from 1 species